AAAUUUUAAACCACAUGAAAAUUAAAAAAUAUAUCUUAUGAUCUAAAAAGACAUAUUAAACCAUAUAACUUGAUAAUCUUGAAGUUACUUAACACUUUUAAAAGUUAAAAAAAUAUGAUAAAGUUACUUAACCAAUUUACAAAAACUAACAUAGAAGCUUCUCGAAUUAGCUAGAGACAUUAUUAAAAAUGAAUGUUGCUAACCUCAUAAUUAAAAUCAAUUAAGUUAUGAAUUUCAUUCAGGAGCCCCAAUAUCGAUUAAUAUACAUGAAUUAACAAGAAAAUGUUAAAAAUCCUUUGUUUUUUUUUUGUCAUCGACUUUUACAGACUCAUACUGACUCUGUAAACCAAACCGGAUGAUCCGUAUUCAUGUGAACGAUGAAAGACGGCUGCUUCCUAACACUUUGUACUUGUCUAUCCGCCUUUAUAUUUUGCGUCCGUGGUACAUAGAUAAUCUCUGACCGGGUGAAACUCUCUUUCAGGAUCUUGACAUCGUCCAAAUAAGUUGCAAAAGCUGGUCAUUCUUCUGGUUCCCAAAACAUCUUCACCAAUUGAGAACAAUGCGUUGCAAACGUAACCUGAAAUUGAUGUAAAUUCCUCAUGCAUACCAUUGCCCAGAGUAGCGUUUCCAUCUCCGCAUGAAGAGGAGAGAGACUAGCCCGAACAUUUCUUGCCCCCAACAAUCCAUCAAAUCCUUCUAAAGUGUUGUACCAACCUUGUCCUGGAAAAGUAUCACCCUCUUUCCAUGAGCCAUCCACAAAACACUAUCUUCCUUGAAUUGACGGCAGGGUCGUAUCUACUAUUUGUGGUCUUGUCCUCUGCUC
rnacentral:lncRNA from 1 species